UCAAGCAUGAGAAGAGUAUUCGGUGGAUGCCUUGGCACACACAGGCGAUGAAGGACGUGAUAGGAUGCGAUAAGCUGCGGGGAGGUUCCAAUACCCUUUGAUCCGCAGAUUUCCGAAUGGGGCAACCCACUUUAAGUGAUCAGUGUUUUAGAGUUUGUUUGCAAAUUCUAAUCUCUGAUCACUAUUAUAAAGUAAUUUAAACUGAAUACAUAGGUUUAAAUAGCGAACCAGGUGAACUGAAAUAUCUAAGUAGCCUGAGGAAAAGAAAUCAAUUGAGACUCCGCUAGUAGUGACGAGCGAACGCGGACUAGACCAGUAGCUAUAGAAAAAUAAUUGGAAUCUGUUGGAAACCAGAGCCAUAGUAGGUGAUAGCCCUGUAUAAGUAAUAUAUUUAUAGUUCGUGAGUAAGGCGGGACACGUGAAAUCCUGUCUGAAUAUGGGGGGGCCACCCUCCAAGUCUAAGUACUCGUGUGUGACCGAUAGUGAACUAGUACCGUGAGGGAAAGGUGAAAAGCACCCCGACAAGGGGAAUGAAAUAGUACCUGAAACCGAAUACUUACAAGCAGUCGGAGGCUCGCAAGGGCUGACGGCGUACCUCUUGUAUAAUGGGUCAGCGACUUAGUGUAAGUGGCAAGCUUAAGCCGUUAGGUGUAGGCGCAGCGAAAGCGAGUGUUAAAAGCGCGUUAAGUCUCUUGCAUUAGACCCGAAACUUAGUGAUCUAGCCAUGGUCAGGCUGAAGGUGAGGUAACACUUGCUGGAGGGCCGAACUCACGUCUGUUGAAAAAGACGGGGAUGAACUGUGGCUAGGGGUGAAAGGCCAAUCAAACUGAGAUAUAGCUGGUUCUCCGCGAAAUCUAUUUAGGUAGAGCGUCAAGAUAAUACACUGUUGGGGGUAGAGCACUUAUUCGGCUAGGGGGUCCCAAAGACUUACCAAACCUAACCAAACUCCGAAUACCCGGGAGUAUAGCGUGGCAGACAGACGGCGGGUGCUAAGGUCCGUCGUCGAGAGGGAAACAGCCCUGACCAACAGCUAAGGUCCCCAAAUCGUAUCUAAGUGGGAAAGCAUGUGGGAAUCCCAAAACAACCAGGAAGUUGGCUUAGAAGCAGCCAUCCUUUAAAGAUAGCGUAAUAGCUCACUGAUCUAAUUAAGAGUUUCGGCGCCUAAGAUGUAUCGGGGCUAAAACUAUGUACCGAAAUUACGGAUAUGUUAUAUAACUUUGUGGCGAUUAGUAUUGAGUGGUCAGUAGUCAGCAAUUUGUUGACCUCGUUGACCACUGACCAUUUUGUACUAAUCGCCCCUUAUAUAAUAUGUGGUAGCGGAGCUCUCUGUAAGUCUGUGAAGGUGUAUCGUAAGGUAUGCUGGAGAUAUCAGAGGUGAGAAUGCUGACAUGAGUAACGAUCAGGGGAGCGAGAAACUCCCCCGCCGAAAUCCCAAGGUUUCCUGCUUAAAGCUAAUCUUAGCAGGGUUAGUCGGACCCUAAGGCGAGGCCGAAAGGCGUAGUCGAUGGAAAACAGGUUAAUAUUCCUGUACCAGUGUGGAUGUGACGCAUCUAGUAACUUGUUCUCUCUUAUUGGAUUGAGAGGGCCGGGAAUAGGUGCCAGGAAAUAGCCCACACAUAGACCGUACCUUAAACCGACACAGGUGGGAUGGUAGAGUAUACCAAGGUGUUUGAGAUAACGAUGCUGAAGGAACUAGGCAAUUUGCACUCGUAACUUCGGAAGAAGAGUGGCCUCUUUAUAGGCAACUAUAAUUAGGUGGCACAGAGCAGGGGGUGGCGACUGUUUAUUAAAAACACAGGGCUAUGCUAAGCGGUAUAACGCGAUGUAUAUGGUCUGACGCCUGCCCGGUGCCGGAAG
rnacentral:rRNA from 1 species